rnacentral:rRNA from 1 species
AAUUUACAGCAGCUCUUCUCCGGAGAUUUAAUCUGCCCACUGAGUAAAUUUUAAGGGCCGCGGUAUUUUGACUGUGCAAAGGUAGCAUAAUCAUUAGUCUUUUAAUUAAAGGCUAGAAUGAAUGGUUGGACGAGGUAAAAUCUGUAUUCUUUAAUAUUUUAUUGAAUUUUUAUUUUAAGUAAAAAUACUUAAAUUUUUUUAAGGGACGAGAAGACCCUAUAGAGUUUAAUAAUUUUAUUAUUUAUUUUGGUUAAUUUUUAAAAAAUUUUUAAUUGAUGUUUAAGAUUAUUUUAUUGGGGUGAUUAAGAGAUAAAUUUAACUCUUUUUUAGUUUUUAUAUUUUUAUUAGUUUAUUUGAUCCAAUAUUUAGUGAUUAAAAGAUUUAAUUACCUUAGGGAUAACAGCAUAAUUUUUUUAAAGAGUUCUUAUCGAAAGAAAAGAUUGUGACCUCGAUGUUGGAUUAAGAUAAAAUUUAGGUGUAGGUGCUUAAUUAUUUAGGUCUGCUAAUCGAGUCGCUUU